rnacentral:rRNA from 1 species
UACGUAGGUGGCAAGCGUUGUCCGGAUUUAUUGGGUUUAAAGGGUGCGUAGGCGGUUCUCUAAGUCAGUUGUGAAAUACUUCAGCUUAACUGGAGAGGUGCAAUUGAUACUGGAGGACUUGAGUACUGAUGAGGUAGGCGGAAUGGACGGUGUAGCGGUGAAAUGCUUAGAUAUCGUAAGGAAGACCAGUGGCGAAGGCGGGUCUCUGGACAGUUCCUGACGCUGAGGCACGAAGGCCAGGGGAGCAAACGGG